CCUGUAGCGUCUUCAUGGAUUAAUGGGAGGCAAAGUGGAACAAUUAAUCCUCCUUUCUCUCUGCGUGCUUUGGAGUAUAUAAGAUGUUCAUGGAGACAAAGCGCUAUGUAAAUAUUAACCAGUGGAUCCUUUAACAAUUUUGCUCAUUCACCUUAAUUUUCUGCUUAUUUUCAGGUCUAUAAUGAGUCGCAGAGGAGAAACGCACUCUCAAGUGUGUGUGUGUGUGUGUGUGUGUGUGUAAGUGUGGUUGAUUGGGUGGAAUGGCUCGCAACCACUUCAGUAUUUCUUUCUAAUUUGCCAUUGUGAAUACUAUUUAGUUAAGUGCCCAAAGUUUGUUUUGCUCCUCAGCUCCCUGCUGCGCUAGCAUUACACCACUCGGGCUUUAAGCAAUCAGAGAGAGAGAGAGAGAGAGAAACAUACAUGGAUUUAAAAGCACUGGGACUGCAGUAUCGUGCUGAACACCGAGUGGUGCUGAUGAAGAGGGAUGUGGUGAAGGGCGACGAAUGCCCGGUCCCUGAGGCGUGGGUCUGAGAGACGGUGGCGGGUGGACUGUGGCGGGCCUGAACUCCGGCCAACUCCCGGGCCGGUCGAGUGGCUGCAGAUGGCUCAGGCUGCAGCACUGGGAAGCGCUUCUCAAGUCACCCGAAGUCGCGUUACAGAGUCCAGAGUCCAGUAGUCAUACACACACACAGUCAUCCCGGUGGUGGUAAGCUACAUCAGUAGCCACAGCUGCCCUGGGGCAGACUGACGGAAGCGUGGCAGCCAAUCAGCGCCUCCGGCCCCUCCGACCACCACCAACAUUCAUUCACAUCCAUACGAACCAGGGUGAGGCUGCGGUGCAUGUCUUUAUGAUGGUGGGGGAAACCGGAGUACCCGGAGAAAACCCACGCAGACACGAGGAGAACACGCUCUACACAGAAAGGACUUGGAACGACCGGGACGACCGGGAUUCGAACCCAGGGCCUUCUUGCUGUGAGGCGACAGUGUUACCCACUGAGCCACCGUGCGCUCACCUUUCAUCAUCAUCCUUGUUCGGCGGAUAGAUUUGUGAGAGGAAAAAAACCCCAGCUAAAUAAUGAGGAGUCGUUCAUGUGACUCCAGGUUAUUUUGUGUGUCCGUGUGUGUUGGAUCCCAAACUGCCGUCUCUUUCAUCUCCCCGUACCUGUUGCUUCUGGGUCUGCUGACUAUGAGAUGACACGGAGCGAAUAAUCCCAAAAGUAUGUAGCCUAACGUGCCAACAAAAAAACAAAGUUGAAACUCACUGACUCAAUACUCCACUGGACACAUAAUAAACACUUUCAAACUUUU